AGCCAUCAUGCCCAGCCAAUAAAAAUAAUCUUUAUAGGGGAGAUUUAUAGGAGAAGUAGUAUAAAUUUUAGGAGUGGUAGGAUGGUCUGGCUAGGCCAAGAUACUCAGGAAAUAUCUGGCAUUGAAUGCAAAGAAACUCUGAUAACCUGAAAAUAGUCCUAAAGUAUAGUCUUGAGCCUACCUGAAACCAGUUUCAGAGCUCAAAAGUUGCUCUCUAAAGGCUUUUAAAAAUAUCUACAGAAACUUAAUAUUUCCAUUGUUAUAAAUUCUUAUCCUUAAUGGUGCUGGAUAACACAAUUCAUCACUUGAAUAUGUAUCCCUUUCUAGUAUAAAAUAGACCAUUUCCCUCCGCAUUUCCUAUAUUUCAGUCAAUCCACCAGAAAGUUGUGACUCAGCACCAUUAAGAUAAUUUAGAAGUAAAUAUGAAGAUUAAAGAGGUCUCUUAUUUUUUAGUGGUUAAGAACACAAACUUUGCAUGGUAGCUCAUCUCUACUAAAAAUACAAAAAUUAGCCAGGUGUGGUGGCAGGCGCCUGUAACCGCAGCUACUCAAGAGGCUGAGGCAGGAGAAUUGCCUGAACCCAGGAGGCGGAGUGAGCCAAGAUCCUGCCACUGCACUCCAGCCUGGGUGACAGAGCAAGACUCCAUCUCGAAUAAAUAAAUAAAUAAGUAAGUAAGUAAAAUAAAGUACACAGUGAAGCCAGGUGUUUGUAUCAUAUCUAUCUGCAGCUAUAAAAUAGGAGAAGCAGACAUUGCUAUUUGAGCAAAGACAUCAUAUGGUUCUAAGCCACAAAGACUAUUACCCUUUCCAGUUGCAAACCAAAGACACUAUAAAUAUGGAGAAUGAGCAACACUGUUAGCCACAAAAGCCAUACUCAUGUACUUGAUGGGCAAUGAUUUCAGAUUUUAUUUUUAAAUAAAACUUUUUUUCCCUUUUAAAAAAUUUUUGUUUUAUUUUCUUUUUUAAUUUUUCUUUUCUGCUUCAUCCACUGACUCUCAGACUUUUUUUUUUUUUUUUUUUUUGAGACAGGGUCUCACUCUCUGACCUCAGCUGGAGUACAGUAGCCAGAUCACAACUCACUGCAACCCUGACUUCCUGAACUCAAGCAAUCCUCCUGCCUUAGCCUCUUGAAUAGCCGGGACUACAGGUGUGCAUGUCCAUGCCCAGCCAACUUUAUUUCUAUUUUUUGUAGAGACAGGCUCUUGCCAUGUUGCCCGGGCUGGUCCUGAACUGCUGAAUUCAAGUGAUCCUCCCACCUUGGCCUCCAGAAGUGCUGGGAUUAUGGGUGUGAGCCACCAUGCCUAGCCAAAAUGUUUCUUAAGGUAUACAUUUUGGGUCUUAGAAGACUUAUACAUUUGUAAUAUUUAUUACUAAAUAUCUCAAAGUAUUACAAUAAAUGUUACCAUGUGAGCUACUUUGAAUCAGGCUUCUUGCACACCAAUUUAAAAAUGUUAACUCUUGAUAUAUACACUAGUUAUACCACUCAUGUCAGUCAAUAAAUUUUAAGGUUUAAGUGCAGGCCUUUGUUUACAGAAAUCCUAAUUUUUUGAAACCAUAACUCUGACCUGACACUAAAUUCCUGUAGACAUGCUAAGGAAAAUCUGCUUAGUAUCGAGAUCAAGAACUUUCAUUCAAAAAGAUUAUUCAGUUAUGUUAUUUGCAUAUUACCAUUAUUAAAAAUAAAAAAAUUUUUAAAA
rnacentral:lncRNA from 1 species